UACCAGCACCCCGAGUGGUCGGGACGUUUUAUUGGGCCUAAAGCAUCCGUAGCCGGUUCUACAAGUCUUCCGUUAAAUCCACCUGCUCAACAGAUGGGCUGCGGAAGAUACUAUGGAGCUAGGAGGCGGGAGAGGCAAGCGGUACUCGAUGGGUGAGGGGUAAAAUCCGUUGAUCCAUUGAAGACCACCAGUGGCGAAGGCGGCUUGCCAGAACGCGC
rnacentral:rRNA from 1 species